rnacentral:rRNA from 1 species
AGAGUUUGAUCCUGGCUCAGAGUGAACGCUGGCGGCGUGCCUAACACAUGCAAGUCGAACGAGAACGGUUCACGGAUUCCUUCGGGAUGAAGUGAAUGUCAGCUAAGUGGCGCACGGGUGAGUAAUAUAUAGGUAACAUGCCCCUUAGAGAGGGAUAACGGCUGGAAACGGCCGCUAAUACCUCAUACUCCUAUAUGACGAAAGUCGUAUAGGGAAACGGUGUAUUCCGCUAAGGGAUUGGCCUGUAUCGUAUCAGUUAGUUGGUGAGGUAAUGGCUCACCAAGACGAUGACGCGUAGCUGGUCUGAGAGGAUGAUCAGUCACACUGGAACUGAGACACGGUCCAGACUCCUACGGGAGGCAGCAGUGGGGAAUAUUGCACAAUGGGCGCAAGCCUGAUGCAGCAACGCCGCGUGGAGGAUGACGCACUUCGGUGUGUAAACUCCUUUUCUGUCGGAAGAUAAUGACGGUAUGACAGGAAUAAGCACCGGCUAACUCCGUGCCAGCAGCCGCGGUAAUACGGAGGGUGCAAGCGUUACUCGAAAUCACUGGGCGUAAAGGACGCGUAGGCGGGAUGGUAAGUCAGAUGUGAAAUCCCACAGCUUAACCGUGGAACUGCAUUUGAAACUGCCAACCUAGAGUUUGGGAGAGGCAGAUGGAAUUGGUGGUGUAGGGGUAAAAUCCGUAGAGAUCACCAGGAAUACCGAUGGCGAAGGCGAUCUGCUGGAACAAUACUGACGCUGAGGCGUGAAAGCGUGGGGAGCAAACAGGAUUAGAUACCCCGGUAGUCCACGCCCUAAACGAUGAAUGCUAGUUGUUGGGGUGCUCGUCAUCCCAGUAAUGCAGCUAACGCAAUAAGCAUUCCGCCUGGGGAGUACGGUCGCAAGAUUAAAACUCAAAGGAAUAGACGGGGACCCGCACAAGCGGUGGAGCAUGUGGUUUAAUUCGAAGAUACGCGAAGAACCUUACCAAGGCUUGACAUACACGAGAACGGGCCAGAAAUGGUCAACUCUUUGGACACUCGUGAACAGGUGGUGCAUGGUUGUCGUCAGCUCGUGUCGUGAGAUGUUGGGUUAAGUCCCGCAACGAGCGCAACCCUCGUUCUAUGUUGCCAGCGCGUAAUGGCGGGAACUCAUAGGAGACUGCCG